AAGUGUUCUAACUACAGCAGUUUGCGAAAUAAUAAGAUCUGAAAGUAAAGUGUACACAUAUUUUUAUGUGGAAAACACCUGGGCUCAAAAGGUGAAAAAACCGCGACCUACUACUCAGUAGGAUUUUCCCAAACUCCACAAAAAUCAAUGAUCCAAAACAAUAUUUACAACGACUCUUUGUAAACCUAAGGAUUAAACUCUAAUCCCAGUGUAGCACACAGCCUCAACUGAUGCGACACUAUCAAGUUAACUCUAACUUGAUGACACAAGGUACCUAAUACAAUUUCCUCUAAUAAAUCUGAAAGGUACAAUUUGAAAACCUACUAUAAUUGAACUAAAAAAUAGAUGGAACCGGUUCUUAUCUCUUAGUCAUGUAGCUUCAGGUGUACACACUUGUAUCUUGCAUAUAUAGUUCGCAAAACAUACUCGCUUUAUUUGCUCUCAAAUAUGCUUUACUUAUUCUUGUGUGUGUUACCUGUAAAAGAGAACUAACACAAUA
rnacentral:lncRNA from 1 species